UACGUAGGGGGCAAGCGUUGUCCGGAUUUAUUGGGCGUAAAGAGCGUGUAGGCGGCCAGAUAGGUCCGUUGUGAAAACUCGAGGCUCAACCUCGAGACGCCGAUGGAAACCAUCUGGCUAGAGUCCGGAAGAGGAGAGUGGAAUUCCCGGUGUAGCGGUGAAAUGCGCAGAUAUCGGGAAGAACACCCGGUGGCUAAGGCGGCUCUCUAGUACGGUACUGACGCUGAGACGCGAAAGCGUGGGGAGCGAACAGG
rnacentral:rRNA from 1 species